CCAGGGGGAAGCGACUGUUUACUAAAAACACAGGUCCGUGCGAAGUCGCAAGACGAUGUAUACGGACUGACUCCUGCCCGGUGCUGGAAGGUUAAGAGGACCGGUUAGUUUCACGCUUGCGUGGGACAAAGCUGGGAAUUUAAGCCCCAGUAAACGGCGGUGGUAACUAUAACCAUCCUAAGGUAGCGAAAUUCCUUGUCGGGUAAGUUCCGACCUGCACGAAUGGAGUAACGACUUCCCCGCUGUCUCAACCAU
rnacentral:rRNA from 1 species